rnacentral:rRNA from 1 species
CCUACGGGAGGCAGCAGUGGGGGAUAUUGCACAAUGGGGGAAACCCUGAUGCAGCGACGCCGCGUGGGUGAAGAAGUAUUUCGGUAUGUAAAGCCCUAUCAGCAGGGAAGAAAGAAGACGGUACCUGACUAAGAAGCCCCGGCUAACUACGUGCCAGCAGCCGCGGUAAUACGUAGGGGGCGAGCGUUAUCCGGAUUCACUGGGUGUAAAGGGAGCGUAGACGGCCGUGCAAGCCAGGAGUGAAAGCCCGGGGCCCAACCCCGGGACUGCUCUUGGAACUGUGCGGCUGGAGUGCGGGAGGGGCAGGCGGAAUUCCGGGUGUAGCGGUGAAAUGCGUAGAUAUCAGGAGGAACACCGGCGGCGAAGGCGGCCUGCUGGACCGCGACUGACGUUGAGGCUCGAAAGCGUGGGGAGCGAACAGGAUUAGAUACCCCGGUAGUC